GGCUCCAUCCACACAGCCAGCAGGGACUUGCUCUCAGAUGCCCUUUGGCAGGUCCAGCUGGGCACAGGGCAUCAUGUGCAGGCAAAACACUACCUUUGCCCUCAGUGCUUUCGUGGAGGGGGCAGGAGGGGGCUAACUGUUUGCAAGCACCCAGGUGAAAUGAAAAUGCAGCCACCCUCAGCUUAUCCCAGGGCCAGCUGUGCCUCCCAGGUGCAUCCUAGAACAGCCAGGCUGGUGGUAUUUGCACAAAUUAAAGCCCAACUUCUGGAGCCACAAGAAUUUUAAAAAAUAAGGUGUUAUACAUGCUAAGAGCUUGAAAACAUAUAUAGUAGAGGUUAAAGCUCCAGAAACUGAAAGGGUUUUCUCAUUCCAUGGGUCCAGCAGCAACAGCAUUUUGAAACUGGGCAAAACUUCAUUCACAUCUUGACCAACUGGAAAGGAAGGAUGUACACCAGCUCUGCUGGGCCAUAUCAACCUAAGAUUGUGCCACUACAGAUGGUAUUGACACACCUGAACACGCAAAUGGCUGCAUGACCUCUUCACUAAAAACCUUUUCCUUCUGACAUCACAAAGCAUUUUCCAUCUGCAUCUCUUGAAGAGUCUCAGCAAGACAACUAGCAUGCUUUUGCCUUGUGCAGAAUGCAAAGCUGAUGUUGUGGCCAGGAAGAACUUUAGGAACAGAUCUGGUCUCCUGGGCCUCAGGCUUGGCUCCAGACUUCAUCUACCUGGUCUGGUGUUCAAGUCAGCCUGGCUCAGGGGAACUGCAAAGGUUUCCAGGGAGAAGUUCUCCUUAGCCAUCACACUUAAAAGGUGGCUGUGCCCAGGAGUAAGGGAGCUUAGAGCCCUUCAAAAGCUCCAGUUCAUCUUCAGCCUGUGCUACCAUGAUUCCACUAUCCCAUAUUAUAAUAGUAGAGGGUAUUUCCUGUGAAUGGUUUUCGCUUGCUGUGACAGUAACUUGCAUGGGCUCACACUUUUACCCCACUCUUUUGAGAGUCCAGAAAGCGAGUGCAGGUGCAGAGCAUCUGUUGCCAGCGUGCUCUGAGUGGGCACCAAAAGGGACAGAAGUGCUGAGGGGUGUGUACG